rnacentral:sRNA from 2 species
AGAUUUUAAGCGCUUAAUCAGUUUUGAGCGGGGGAACCAUUUUUUGGGGUGAAUCUUGGUUUUUGCCAGGUAGGGUUAACUCUUUCGACCCGAACCCGUCAGCUAACCUCGUAGGCGUUGAUAGAGGAGUA